rnacentral:rRNA from 1 species
GAGUUUGAUCCUGGCUCAGGAUGAACGCUGGCGGCGUGCCUAACACAUGCAAGUCGAACGAAGCGACUGGAGGAAGUUUUCGGAUGGAAUCCGGUUGACUGAGUGGCGGACGGGUGAGUAACGCGUGGAUAACCUGCCUCACACUGGGGGAUAACAGUUAGAAAUGGCUGCUAAUACCGCAUAAGCGCACAGUACCGCAUGGUACGGUGUGAAAAACUCCGGUGGUAUGAGAUGGACCCCGCGUCUGAUUAGCU